rnacentral:miRNA from 1 species
UGCCGCCACCUUCUCCCCGCUGGGGAGAAGGGGAUGCCGCGCCGUCUCGUUUUCCCCUUCUCCCCCCGGGGAGAAGGUGCCCGAA